rnacentral:ncRNA from 1 species
CUACGGACUUAGAAAACUGAGCCUUGAUAGAGAAAUCUUUCAAGUGACUGCUCUCAAACUCAGGGAAACCUAAAUCUGUGAUCUGUUUACAGACAUGGCAAUCCUGAGCCAAGCCAAGGUAGUUAUCGGUCAUUUUUGACUUGUCCUUCGGUUAGCGAUUGAUAACAAAGGACAAACAAUAAAUGACAAGUGACUAACUCGGAAGGUGCAGAGGCCCGACGGGAGCUACCCUAACGUUAAGUCGAGGGUAAAGGGAGGGUCCAAUUCUCAAAACUUUACAACUUUGUGG